CACGUCAGCGCGCUUUGCUUACGUGGACACAAAUUGCGCCUACGAGGACGCAAUUUUCUAACACAUCAGCAAAACGCGCUGACGUGG
rfam:Gossypium hirsutum cultivar TM-1 chromosome 20, whole genome shotgun sequence